UGAGCGGCGGACGGGUGAGUAACGCGUGGGUAACCUGCCUCAUACAGGGGGAUAACAGUUGGAAACGGCUGCUAAUACCGCAUAAGCGCACAGUACCGCAUGGUACCGUGUGAAAAACUCCGGUGGUAUGAGAUGGACCCGCGUCUGAUUAGGUAGUUGGUGGGGUAACGGCCUACCAAGCCGACGAUCAGUAGCCGACCUGAGAGGGUGACCGGCCACAUUGGGACUGAGACACGGCCCAAACUCCUACGGGAGGCAGCAUG
rnacentral:rRNA from 1 species